rnacentral:tRNA from 1 species
GCCUCUGUAGUUAAAUGGAUAUAACGGCCCCCUCCUAAGGGGCAAUUCUGGGUUCGAUUCCCGGCGGGGGCGCCA